UCCUGCAUGCCCUUCCACAUCGCCACUGUUCUCCAGCUUUGUCUUGUUCUCUGAGGUUAUUUGUCAGCACACACUGCCCCUGCCUACACUGCUUCAGGGCUCCCUACCAUGUUUCCCCCACUGAGCAGCUAGAAGAAUGAGCUUGAGUUUGGAUAUCACUUUGUCCUUGGUUCUGUCCCUCUGCCGCCUACCUUCCACACUGUGCUGGGUUUCCACCUUCUGCUGAUCCCCUUGCUAGGCUACCAAGACGCAUAUCCUGCAGGCUUGCCUGUCCUCUCAUGCCUGGACUUGCCCAGCUGCCCCUUCCCUCUGUUCUCACACAGGAACUCAGAACCCCAUUUCCUGGGAGGUGCAGCGAUUUGAUGGGUGGUACAACAACCUCAUGGAUCACAGAUGGGGCAGCAAAGGCUCUCGGCUCCAGCGCCUGGUUCCAGCCAGUUAUGCAGAUGGUGUGUACCAGCCCUUGGGAGAACCCCACCUGCCCAACCCCAGAGACCUUAGCAACACUGCCAUGAGGGGCCCUUCAGGGCAGGCCUCCCUGUGAAACCCAACAGUGCUUGGAGUCUUCUUUGGCUACCAUGUGCUCUCGGACCUGGUGAGC